GAUAUCAACUGAAAAAGUCAUCAACAACAAAGUUGAAUAACUCAUCAAGAUCUAAAACUUUUAUUUUGGUCAUUUCUUCAUACGACAAAGUGAUAGUAACAUUGUUCACAAAAUUGACAUAUCUCUUAUCUGGUUUUAUAAACUAUAACACAUAUAUGUAAAAUUUUUGAAUAAUAUUACUAACAUUUCGUCGGAUGAAGAAAUAACAAAAGUAAAAGUUUUAGAUCUUGAUGAGUUAUUCAACUUUGUUGUUGAUGACUUUUUCAAUUGAAAUC
rnacentral:pre_miRNA from 1 species